ACAGCAGUCGCCGCGGUAAGACAGAGGAUGCAAGCGUUAUCCGGAAUGAUUGGGCGUAAAGGGCUCGCAGGCGGUUUCUUAAGUCUGAUGUGAAAGCCCCCGGCUCAACCGGGGAGGGUCAUUGGAAACUGGGAAACUUGAGUGCAGAAGAGGAGAGUGGAAUUCCACGUGUAGCGGUGAAAUGCGUAGAGAUGUGGAGGAACACCAGUGGCGAAGGCGACUCUCUGGUCUGUAACUGACGCUGAGGAGCGAAAGCGUGGGGAGCGAACAGGAUUAGAUACCCCUGUAGUCCCUGUCUCUUAUAC
rnacentral:rRNA from 1 species